UACGAAGGGGGCUAGCGUUGCUCGGAAUCACUGGGCGUAAAGGGCGCGUAGGCGGCUGACUUAGUCGAGGGUGAAAGCCCGUGGCUCAACCACGGAAUGGCCUUCGAUACUGGUUGGCUUGAGACCGGAAGAGGACAGCGGAACUGCGAGUGUAGAGGUGAAAUUCGUAGAUAUUCGCAAGAACACCAGUGGCGAAGGCGGCUGUCUGGUCCGGUUCGGACGCUGAGGCGCGAAAGCGUGGGGAGCAAACAGG
rnacentral:rRNA from 1 species